rnacentral:lncRNA from 1 species
CGGGCAGCACUGACACUCUGGAGAAGGUCUGCCUCUGUGUGCGCUGCCCCGGUGAGAAUCCCCAACGACAGCUCCACUUUCCAGUGGAGGAGGAAAAAAAUCUCCGUCUACUCUCUUGAUGAAGGACAGAGCUUUGAUCAUUUUUAUUCAGGCUUGUUUUGGCCGGAGGUUUCAGGUUGCAUGCGAGCAGAUGAAUUCCACAGCUGGAACUGAGGCACAGAGCAAUAAACACAGUGGAGCCCAUCUCUGCCGUGGUGAGAGGGGGCAUCAGAAGUGACAACAAUGACAAGGACCCAAGGACCGUCCUUCUGACAAGUUUCAGGUGCUGAGAGCAGAGACACGACACACCUCCCUGCGACGACGGACUUGUGAAUGCUUCCACUGCCCCCAAAUAUGGAACCCCCCCAACUGCCGUCUGCUCUGAGCUCCAUUUCGUUUUGACAGCCACUUGCAGUAGGCACUUUUAACUCCAUGCACUGUAAAAGAUUCUUGGGCUGAUGGAGUAAGUGAGUGACGGAGUGGGUUGCCAACUGUAGUUACUCCACUCAAUGCGGAAUGGCUGCAGGGAAUAUAUUCUGAUGUGCCCAAAGAAGUCUGCCCAGGGUGAAACAAAUACCUUUGAGGUUUAAAUCAGGUGUGUGAAGAAUGCUAGGGAGUCUCAUACUAAGUGAACUCAGUCAGAAAGAGAAAGACAAAUACCAUAUGAUAUCACUUAUAUGUGGAAUCUAAAAUGUGACACAAAUCAUCUUACCUGCAAAAGAGAAACUCACAGACAUAGACACACUUGUGGUUGCCAGUGGGGAGGCAGGCUGGGGAGAGAUGGAUUGGCAGUUUAUGAUUAGCAGAUGCAAACUAUUACAUAUAGGUUGGAUAAAUGAAGUCCUACCGUAUAGCACAGGGAGCUAUAGUCAUAAAUCAUAAUG